NNNUGCGAUCAUACCAGCACUAAAGCACCAGAUCCCAUCAGAACUCCGAAGUUAAGCGUGCUUGGGCGAGAGUAGUACUAGGAUGGGUGACCUCCUGGGAAGUCCUCGUGUUGCAUUCC
rnacentral:rRNA from 1 species